rnacentral:rRNA from 1 species
AACGAACGCUGGCGGCGUGCCUAAUACAUGCAAGUAGAACAGUUGCGAACGGGUGAGUAACGCGUAGGUAACUGACUCAUAGCGGGGGAUAACUAUUGGAAACGAUAGCUAAUACCGCAUACUGUGUGAUGGACCUGCGUUGUAUUAGCUUGUUCGUUAGGUAAAGGUGCACAAAGGCGACGAUACAUCGCCGACCUGAGAGGGGGAUCGGCCACACUGGGACUGGUACACGACCAAGAUGCCUUCGCAAGGCAGCAGUAGGCAAUCUUCGUCAAUGGAAGGAAUGCUGACCGAGCAACGCCGCGUUAGUGAAGAAGGUUUUCGGAUCGUAAAGCUCUGUUGUUAGAGAAGCGGUAUCUAACCAGAGAGGGACGGCUAACUACGUGCCAGCAGCCGCGGUAAUAC